CAGUAGCCGCGGGAAUACAGAGGGUGCAAGCGUUAAUCGGAAUUACUGGGCGUAAAGCGCGCGUAGGUGGUUUGUUAAGUUGGAUGUGAAAUCCCCGGGCUCAACCUGGGAACUGCAUCCAAAACUGGCAAGCUAGAGUAUGGUAGAGGGUGGUGCAAUUUCCUGUGUAGCGGUGAAAUGCGUAGAUAUAGGAAGGAACACCAGUGGCGAAGGCGACCACCUGGACUGAUACUGACACUGAGGUGCGAAAGCGUGGGGAGCAAACAGGAUUAGAUACCCGAGUAGUCCCUGUCUCUUAUAU
rnacentral:rRNA from 1 species